CUUGGUCAUUUAGAGGAAGUAAAAGUCGUAACAAGGUUUUCGUAGGUGAACCUGCGUAAGGAUCAUUAACGGCGAUCAAAGCUGAGAGUGGCUGGCAACGGCUGCUUUCGGAUUGGUUUCAGUUUUGGACACAAGUCCCAAGUGACCGGCUUGGACGGCAUUGGGCGGCUUUGCCUGUUUUUGGUGAAGUGACAACGAGGCUUGGUCGGACUGCAGUGGGUCCGGCUCCAAGUGAUUGGAGUGGAGAAGCAUUGUUAGCGUUCCAGGUUUAAACUCUGGCUGGGUGCCCAUUCCUGGUCUUACCGGGGUAGUGCUGCCUUGGAGCACUGCGGGCCGUAAGGGCGGCGUCAACCACUGUCGCUGACGCCCAGCCAAGGCUCCUCGCCUUAUAGGAGCCCGUUUUUUGUUUGGUUAAGCUUCUGUCGUAAAGCCAAAGAUUUUGUUAAAUGAGAGAGACUCACUCUGAGCGGUGGAUCACUCGGCUCGCGGAUCGAUGAAGAGCGCAGCAAAGCGCGAUAGCUACUGCGAACUGCAGGAUUACUUGAGCAGCAAGAGCUUGAACGCAAAUUGCGGCUUCGGGAACUCCCGGAGUCACGUUCGCCUGAGGGUCGAAAUUAAUUGAAACAAAACAACAUUUGACACGUUGUUUGAAAUGGCUUUGCAGCAGCUUUGGCUGACCUGCGAGCUUAAGAUUCUUCUUACCGCGUUGGACUGGCGACUCCAAGUUAACUUUUGGUUUCAGCUGGCCAACUGGCUUCUGUUUUUUACUAAUCGACCUCAGACGGGCGAGAUUGCCCGCUGAAUUUAAGCAUAUCACUAAGCGGAGAAACAGACAAUAACAAUGAUUUCCACAGUAACGGCGAGUGAAGUGGAAAGAGCUCAUUGCCGAAUUCCGCUGGGUUGCCCAGUUGGAAGUUGUGGCGUUUGGAACUGCCGCCAUGUAGUCAACGGCCGGGCGACGCGACCCCUCUUGAUUGUGGUUAGCCCAGAGCUGGUGAAAGGCCAAUAGACGUUGUCUUUGAACUAAGUGGCCGUUGGCGAUGGCAGUCCUAAGAGUCGGGUUGUUUGGGAUUGCAGCCCGAAGCAGGUGGUAAACUCCACCUAAAGCUAAAUAUGGCCGCGAGUCCGAUAGAGCACAAGUACCGUGAGGGACAGCUGAAAAGAACUUUGAAGAGAGAGUUCAAAGUACGUGAAACCGUUCAGAGGCAAACAGGUGGAAGGUCGAGUCGAGGCUGGCAGUCAGGCUGGAGUUCGGCUGGGCUGGCUGGUUACCCGUUUGGGUGCUGGUUAGACUGAGCUGGUCAGCUCCGGCUGUAUUUGCUGGCUUCGUAUCGCCGUGGCGGCUGCCUUGGAGGCAGGCUGGUUCCUCUGGUUAGCAGCAGUCCUUUUGGGCUGUCUUGAAUGGCUGAAUUAAGAGCUGGUUUUGCCGAUUCGCAAGAGGCGGUCGGAUGUGUUUUGUUUGGCCUUGUGCUUUUAGCGCAGUGCUCUGCUGGUUGACAGACCGUUGACUGGUGCUGCUUCACCGGCAAUGUCCGACUGGGUGGUGCCAGUAGCGGCGGCUGUUGGCUGGUAUGGGCAAGGCCAAGUGGUGGCGGCGUUGACAACGAGACUUCUACCUGACCCGUCUUGAAACACGGACC
rnacentral:rRNA from 1 species